rnacentral:rRNA from 1 species
GUCUUCGAGUCGUUGAUUUCACACUGCCGAGAAAAGCCUCUAGAUAGAAAAUAGGUGCCCGUACCGCAAACCGACACAGGUAGUCAAGAUGAGAAUUCUAAGGUGAGCGAGCGAACUCUCGUUAAGGAACUCGGCAAAAUGACCCCGUAACUUCGGGAGAAGGGGUGCUCUUUAGGGUUAACGCCCAGAAGAGCCGCAGUGAAUAGGCCCAAGCGACUGUUUAUCAAAAACACAGGUCUCUGCUAAACCGUAAGGUGAUGUAUAGGGGCUGACGCCUGCCCGGUGCUGGAAGGUUAAGAGGAGUGGUUAGCUUCUGCGAAGCUACGAAUCGAAGCCCCAGUAAACGGCGGCCGUAACUAUAACGGUCCUAAGGUAGCGAAAUUCCUUGUCGGGUAAGUUCCGACCCGCACGAAAGGCGUAACGAUUUGGGCACUGUCUCAACGAGAGACUCGGUGAAAUCAUAGUACCUGUGAAGAUGCAGGUUACCCGCGACAGGACGGAAAGACCCCGUGGAGCUUUACUGUAGCCUGAUAUUGAAAUUCGGCACAGCUUGUACAGGAUAGGUAGGAGCCUUUGAAACGUGAGCGCUAGCUUACGUGGAGGCGCUGGUGGGAUACUACCCUAGCUGUGUUGGCUUUCUAACCCGCACCACUUAUCGUGGUGGGAGACAGUGUCAGGCGGGCAGUUUGACUGGGGCGGUCGCCUCCUAAAAGGUAACGGAGGCGCUCAAAGGUUCCCUCAGAAUGGUUGGAAAUCAUUCAUAGAGUGUAAAGGCAUAAGGGAGCUUGACUGCGAGACCUACAAGUCGAGCAGGGUCGAAAGACGGACUUAGUGAUCCGGUGGUUCCGCAUGGAAGGGCCAUCGCUCAACGGAUAAAAGCUACCCCGGGGAUAACAGGCUUAUCUCCCCCAAGAGUUCACAUCGACGGGGAGGUUUGGCACCUCGAUGUCGGCUCAUCGCAUCCUGGGGCUGUAGUCGGUCCCAAGGGUUGGGCUGUUCGCCCAUUAAAGCGGUACGC